rnacentral:rRNA from 1 species
GGAGUCUAGCAUGUGCGCGAGUCAUUGGGAAAUAACUAAACCUAAAGGCGCAAUGAAAGUAAAAGUCCGCCUCGCGCGGACUUAGGGAGGAUGGGUGAUCAGGUUCGUCCGUCGCCUCGCACUCCCGGGGCGUCUCGUUCUCAUUGCGAGAAGAGGCGCACCUAGAGCGUACACGCUGGGACCCGAAAGAUGGUGAACUAUGCCUGGUCAGGACGAAGUCAGGGGAAACCCUGAUGGAGGUCCGUAGCGAUUCUGACGUGCAAAUCGAUCGUCGGAACUGGGUAUAGGGGCGAAAGACUAAUCGAACCAUCUAGUAGCUGGUUCCCUCCGAAGUUUCCCUCAGGAUAGCUGGCGCUCGUUGCGUACGAGUUUCAUCCGGUAAAGCGAAUGAUUAGAGGCAUUGGGGUCGAAACGGCCUCAACCUAUUCUCAAACUUUAAAUGGGUGAGAUCUCCGGCUUGCUCGAACUAUUGAAGCCGCGAGACUCGAAUCAGAGUGCCAAGUGGGCCAUUUUUGGUAAGCAGAACUGGCGCUGUGGGAUGAACCAAACGCCGAGUUAAAGCGCCUAAAUCGACGCUUAUGGGAUACCAUGAAAGGCGUUGGUAACUUAAGACAUCAGGACGGUGGCCAUGGAAGUC